AUGCCGCGAGAGUGAAGAAGGCCUUUGGGUUGUAAAGCUCUUUCGUCGGGGAAGAAAAUGACUGUACCCGAAUAAGAAGGUCCGGCUAACUUCGUGCCAGCAGCCGCGGUAAUACGAAGGGACCUAGCGUAGUUCGGAAUUACUGGGCUUAAAGAGUUCGUAGGUGGUUAAAAAAGUUGGUGGUGAAAUCCCAGAGCUUAACUCUGGAACUGCCAUCAAAACUUUUUAGCUAGAGUAUGAUAGAGGAAAGCAGAAUUUCUAGUGUAGAGGUGAAAUUCGUAGAUAUUAGAAAGAAUACCAAUUGCGAAGGCAGCUUUCUGGAUCAUUACUGACACUGAGGAACGAAAGCAUGGGUAGCGAAGAGGAUUAGAUACCCUCGUAGUCCAUGCCGUAAACGAUGUGUGUUAGACGUUGGAAAUUUAUUUUCAGUGUCGCAGCGAAAGCGAUAAACACACCGCCUGGGGAGUACGACCGCAAGGUUAAAACUCAAAUGAAUUGACGGGGACCCGCACAAGUAGUGGAGCAUGUGGUUUAAUUCGAAGAUACGCGCAGAACCUUACCAACACUUGACAUGUUCGUCGCGACUCUAAGAGAUUAGAGUUUUCGGUUCGGCCGGACGAAACACAGGUGCUGCAUGGCUGUCGUCAGCUCGUGUCGUGAGAUGUUGGGUUAAGUCCCGCAACGAGCGCAACCCUCACUUUUAGUUGCCAUCAUUUAGUUGGGCACUCUGAAAGAACUGCCAGUGAUAAGCUGGAGGAAGGUGGGGAUGACGUCAAGUCCUCAUGGCCCUUAC
rnacentral:rRNA from 1 species